GGGUGGGGCGGGGUGGGGCGGGGCGUCUCCGAGCGGCGGGCCGAGGGAGGGCGCAGCAGCUGCACCCUGAACACUUUCUGACCCAACAGUCCCCCAGCGCCGGACGCGCCGCGCCCCGGCGGCUCUAGGGACCCCCCCCCGCGCCUGCACUUAGCCCCGCGCCCGAGCCCACACACAGGUGAAUUUAAAGGAGCAGCCCUGGUGUCACCUAUCAGUAAAAGAAUGUUAGAACGACUUUCCAAGUUUGAAGUUGGAGAUGCUGAAAAUGUUGCUUCAUAUGAUUGUAUAACCAUUCACCAGCUUGUGUCGAUGCUGGAGAGGAAGUACUGCCAUAGAGGAAGUUAACUCACCAUGGUUGUAAGCUGUUGGUGUCUAAACAAACAUUGGAAACAAAGAGGGCAAAUACAAGUAGUUCUUCAAAUUACCCUGAAUUUGCCACUGAAUUAAACUGUGUGUCUGCAGAUUAGCUAUACGUUUUCUGUAAUGGAGCUGCCCAGGGCUGAAACAAAAUUAGACAGAUUAAGCGAGGCAAGCAUUUCCUUCUUUCCCGACUCCAAACAAAAUAAAGCAGGUUUUCAUUUUAUUUUAUUUUUAAAUUACAAAGUCUCAUUACAUAGAUACAGGAGGAAUUUGCAGUAGUCCCUGUGAGAAAUGCUGGUGUUUCAUACCAGGGGGAUGAUACUGGAUUUAUAGUAAAAGCUGGAAUCAGUGCUUGGCUUUGGCAUCAUAUAUUCAUUCACCUGAUACUCAGCAAGUCACUAACCCUCUUUAACUUUCAGAUUAUUCAAAUGUAAACUGGCUAUAAUGCAAUCUAUGUACUGGAUAUUGUAUUGUAAAAAAUUAGUAAUAAAAUGAAAAUAACAUGCAAAAAUACUUUGAAAACUGUAGAUCUGUAAAUAGGUUUUAUUCUAAAAACUGAAAAUAAUGUAAGAGUUCAUUAAAGGAAAAUUAGAAAAUACAAUCAACAAAUCUACCCACAUAUAGUCAUUCUUAAACUUUGAUGCAUGCACUUCUAAGUUCUUCAAGCAUAUACUUUUUUUGUUUACAGAUAGGAGACCGUACUUAUUCUUUUGUAAAUAACCUUAUUACUUAAUGACAUCAUGGUUUUUUUUUUGUUAAUAUAUAUUCAUGUGCACUUACAACAUUAUUUUUAACAGUUGUGUGAUAUUUCAUGGUGUAGAUGUGCUAUAAUUCAUUUAAUAGUCAGAUAUUACUGAACAAUUUUUUUACAAGUUUUUAACUGUUACAAAAAUGAAUAUAUUUGAGGCUAAAUCUCUGUAUAUUGUUGGUUAUUUGCUUGUUAUAAAUUCUCAGAAGUGGAAAUUCUGUGUCAAAGGGAAUGAUUGUGACGCUAUUGAUACUGAUAUGUGCUUUAACAUCAAGAUGCAAAGUGUACAUUUCUCCCCUCCCACACUUAACAGUAGCCAUCAUUGAUUUCUCUGAUAUUAGUAAAUAUAUUUGUUCUAAUGCACGUUCUUUGACACAGCUUCAUUUAUCCUUUUCUGGCUUUGGACUGAAAAGUUAAAUCUAUUGAUCCUUUUUCUAUUUUAUGUAAUAUAAGCAAUUUCUCCCAGGUUGUCUUGCUUUUCACUAUAUAAAAGCAUUUAAUCCUCAUGUAACCAAAUGUAUCUGUACUUUUCUUUGUGAUUUUGCCUUUAAUGUUAUUCUCAGAAAGUCCUUCUUACCCCAAGAUUUUAAACAUAUUCACCAAAAUUUCUGUUUUGAAUUUAUUUUCUUCAUUUAAAUAAAAUAUCUGCCCUGAAUUUACUUUGUCUUAAGGUAUAAAGUGUAGAAAUUUACUUUUCUCCUAAGUGACUCAUAAUUUUUUCAGCAUGAACAUGUCAUCCCCCUGUAUUGUCCUUACCCUGUUUUAGUGAUCUAGAGUGAGCAGGAAGACCAGAGUCACUACAGUGUUUUUCGUGCUUUGCAUCGUGGCCACCUCCCUACCCCCAGAGUCUGCACAAGAGAAAAAUGUGUCCAGUGGGAGAGAUAGCACCUGCCUUCAAUACAAAUCCCAUUUCAUUAAACAUGGUCUUGUUAGUGUCAUGUAGCUUCCACCUUCUAUUGAUAAAAAAUGAGUCAUGUUCAUAGUUAAUAUUUUUGCUUUUAAUUCAACUUUGAUAUUAAUAUUGGAACUUUUAGUGUUUUAAGGUUUAGUAUCUCAUAUCUUUUUCUCUCUCUCUUUUUUUUUUUUUGAGCCGGAGUCUUGCUCUCUCACCAGGCUGGAAUGCAGUGGCGCCACUCAGCUCGCUGCAACCUCCGCUUCCCAGGUUCAAGCGAUUCUCCUGCCUCAGCCUCCAGCAAGAUUAAGAAAAUUGUGCAUCAAUUGUAUCAUCCUUUGCAUUUGGGUAUGUGAGACAUAGAAAACACCAUGUAUUAAAUAUAUCUGAGACUUGGCUGGGCACGGUUGCUCACGCCUGUAAUCCCAGCACUCUGGGAGGCCGAGGCGGGCGGAUCACAUGAAGUCAGGAGUUCAAGACCAGCCUGGCUAACAUGGUGAAACCCCAUCUCUACUAAAAAUACAAAAAUUAGCCAAGCAUAAUGGUGGGUGCCUGUAAUCCCAGCUACUCAGGAGGCUGAGGCAGAAGAAUCGCUUGAACCGAGGAGGCAUAGGUUGCAGUGAGCUGAAAUUGCACCAUUGCACCUCAGCCUUGGUGACACAGCAAGACUCCAUGUAAAAAAAAAAAAAAAAGAAAAAAAAAUAUGAGUCUCAUAUGUAUCUAUACAUACAUAUAUAUAUAUAUGAGACUUAAUACUUCAAUGAGAAACACUGAAAUAAAAUAACAAAAAAGCAUUUCCACUGUCCAUCAGUUGCUAAGUAGCCAUGUGCCCCAUCUAAUGGAAUCUAAUUUAUCAUGGAAUUUUGGUUUAAGCUGGACAUUAAGAAUUGCAAAUAAGUGGCUUUUGCCUAAGAUUAAUAGUAACAUAUUAAUAUUGUUUUUCUUCCAUCUGCAAAAGUAACAUUAAUGAAAAUCAAAUGUUAAAAUUCUAUAAUUAUUAGUAAAGUGUUUUAUUAGUACCUUAUACAUCUGGAAUUACUCUUUAAUUCUGGAAACAAUUUAUUUAGACUCUACAUAAGAGUAAGAUUUCAUACUAUGAUAUAGAUUUAUGCAAUAUAAUUGUUUCCUUUUGAAUUAAUAAUAUUUGAAUUUGAGCUGCAAGUUUUUAAAAAAGUACUUCAAAGACGAAUUCACCUUCAUAGACUAGGAAAUAGUCUAAUCAAUUUAUGGAGAAUGUAUUUGGAAUAUGUAACAGCAAGUGGCAGGAGGUACUUUAGAGUUCAAGACUCAUGUGCCCAUCACUCUGCUAGAAGCACCCAUAAAUAUGGAAUCAUGGACUUGUUGAAAAUGUCACUGAUGAAAAAUCUUGGUCUUUUAAGAGCUUAUGUUACUCAUGCUUUCAUUUGGUUUUUAUUAAUAAAUUCUUUAGAAUUAUCCAGAUUAA